AGGAAAUCUUAAUAAUAGGGUUCCUGUAAGUCAAGAAGCAUAUUAUGGCUUUUCCAUGAACAACUUUCAGCUCACUCGGGCAGAACAAGAUUGUUUUCAAGAGCAAGUGAGAAAUACUCUGCAGAGUAA